AUUGAACGCUGGCGGCAGGCCUAACCCAUGCAAGUCGAGCGAGCGACGGACGGGUGAGUAAUGUCUGGGAAACUGCCUGAUGGAGGGGGAUAACUACUGGAAACGGUAGCUAAUAACGCAUACCAUCAGAUGUGCCCCUAUGGGAUUAGCUAUUUGGUGGGGUAACGGCUCACCAAGGCGAUGAUCCCUAGCUGGUCUGAGAGGAUGACCAGCCACACGGGAACUGAGACACGGUCCAGACGCCGACGGGAGGCAGCAGUGGGGAAUAUUGCACAAUGGGCGAAAGCCUGAUGCAGCUAGGCCGCGUGUAUGAAGAAGGCCUUCGGGUUGUAAAGUACUUUCAGCGAGGAGGCGUUACUCGCAGAAGAAGCACCGGCUAACUCCGUGCCAGCAGCCGCGGUAAUAC
rnacentral:rRNA from 1 species